rnacentral:rRNA from 1 species
UACGAAGGGGGCUAGCGUUGCUCGGAAUCACUGGGCGUAAAGGGUGCGUAGGCGGGUCUUUAAGUCAGGGGUGAAAUCCUGGAGCUCAACUCCAGAACUGCCUUUGAUACUGAAGAUCUUGAGUUCGGGAGAGGUGAGUGGAAUUGCGAGUGUAGAGGUGAAAUUCGUAGAUAUUCGCAAGAACCCCAGUGGCGAAGGCGGCUCACCGGCCCGAUACUGACGCUGAGGCACGAAAGCGUGGGGAGCAAACAGG